AGUGAACGCUGGCGGUAGGCCUAACACAUGCAAGUCGAACGGCAGCACAGUAAGAGCUUGCUCUUACGGGUGGCGAGUGGCGGACGGGUGAGGAAUACAUCGGAAUCUACUUUUUCGUGGGGGAUAACGUAGGGAAACUUACGCUGAUACCGCAUACGACCUACGGGUGAAAGCAGGGGAUCUUCGGACCUUGCGCGAUUGAAUGAGCCGAUGUCGGAUUAGCUAGUUGGCGGGGUAAAGGCCCACCAAGGCGACGAUCCGUAGCUGGUCUGAGAGGAUGAUCAGCCACCCUGGAACUGAGACACGGUCCAGACUCCUACGGGAGGCAGCAGUGGGGAAUAUUGGACAAUGGGCGCAAGCCUGAUCCAGCCAUACCGCGUGGGUGAAGAAGGCCUCCGGGUGUUAAAGCCCUUUUGUUGGGAAAGAAAAGCAGCAGGUUAAUACCCCGCUGUUCUGACGGUACCCAAAGAAUAAGCACCGGCUAACUUCGUG
rnacentral:rRNA from 1 species